rnacentral:misc_RNA from 1 species
GAUGAAGAACGUAGCGAAAUGCGAUAAGUAAUGUGAAUUGCAGAAUUCAGUGAAUCAUCGAAUCUUUGAACGCACAUUGCGCCCGCCAGUAUUCUGGCGGGCAUGCCUGUUCGAGCGUCAUUUCAACCAUCAAGCCCUGCUUGCGUGGGGGUCCUGCGGCUGCCCGCAGGCCCUGAAAACCAGUGGCGGGCUCGCUAGUCACACCGAGCGCAGUAAUACAUCUCGCUUUGGGCGUGCGGCGGGUUCUUGCCGUUAAACACCCCCUUUUUACCAAGGUUGACCUCGGAUCAGGUAGGAAUACCCGCUGAACUUAAGCAUAUCAAUAAGCGGAGGA